AGCGAACGCUGGCGGCAGGCCUAACACAUGCAAGUCGAACGAAGUCUUCGGACUUAGUGGCGGACGGGUGAGUAACACGUGGGAACGUGCCUUUAGGUUCGGAAUAACUCAGGGAAACUUGUGCUAAUACCGAAUGUGCCCUUCGGGGGAAAGAUUUAUCGCCUUUAGAGCGGCCCGCGUCUGAUUAGCUAGUUGGUGAGGUAAAGGCUCACCAAGGCGACGAUCAGUAGCUGGUCUGAGAGGAUGAUCAGCCACAUUGGGACUGAGACACGGCCCAAACUCCUACGGGAGGCAGCGGUGGGGAAUCUUGCGCAAUGGGCGAAAGCCUGACGCAGCCAUGCCGCGUGAAUGAUGAAGGUCUUAGGGUUGUAAAAUUCUUUCACCGGGGACGAUAAUGACGGUACCCGGAGAAGAAGCCCCGGCUAACUUCGUGCCAGCAGCCGCCGUAACAC
rnacentral:rRNA from 1 species